AGGAGCAGUCCCACCAAUUAUAAAAAAAUAGUGUAGUCAUUUUUGCUUUGAUGGUUUAUGCAUAAUAUUUUUAUAACAUACUUAUCUUCCACAUUUUUCUGAAAAGAAAAUAAUCUAUUACACAUAUAGGGUUACGGUAUAGUAAAAAUGUAUUUCUUACCAAAUGUUUAAAGUACAGGUACAAAACACUCAAAAAUGGCCUGCCAUCUCAGGAAAUAAUGACUACCAGUUCAAGGGUUAAAGUUUCUUGUGUGUGUUGUAUGUUGAUGGAAGGUUUAAAAAGAUGAUAGGAUUUCAGACAUUUGCCAUCAUUUUGUAACAUAUAAUGAUGGAAAAUGUCCGAAAUCCUGUUAUUCUCAAAUAGUGAUCAUAUAUUUCCGAUUUUGUUAUCUUAGAAGAUAUCAUAAAGCACUGUGACUAUGGAAUAUAAGAGCCCAACAGAUAUACAAUUAAUUACACCUCAUUAACUGACACUUCUCUGUUGUGUGCAGUGAUUGAGAUAAAUUGUUAGUAAAACGAUGCUCAAACCAACAGGGGCCAGAGGACACAGGUGGAGGUGGGGGGUCUAGGGCCUGAGGAAUGUUACCACUUCCGAGUGGGCGUGACAAUACCUGGGGAGGAUACUCCUACUGUUUGGAGCAAGAUUGUUCCAGCAAAUACCAAAGAUGACCUUAUCCUUGUAGCAAAUCUCCAUAGAUCAGUGCAAUAUGGAAACGUAAAUGCAGUCCGCAAAUUUAUAAAUAGCAGGCCAUAUGCACUUGACACUUACAACCAACUGGGCCAGCCAACUCUGUCCAUGGCUACAAACCCUCAAAUAACAGCUCUUCUUCUCAACUUUGGGGCUACUAAUGAACAACCUUCCAGGUUUACAGGUAGAACAGCACUGAUGCAGGCAGCUGCCCAAGGUCAAGUGGAGGUAGCAAACCUGCUGUUAGAGAGAGGAGCCAGUUGGCACACACAAGACAGUUGUGCUGGGGAGUGACAAGGCAGUGCUUGAGCUGCUGGUGGAUGCAGGGGCUGACGUGAACAGACGAGAUAUCCAUGGACAGAUUGGCCUUCUCCUGGCAGUGUUGUCACACAGGCCCUCAAUCCUUCAGCUGCUACUAGAUGCUGGAGCCACUGUGGAAGACCCUGAUUCCCUCAUCAACAUAGCAGCUGCUAACGGUGACUCUGAAAUUGAUAACAUCUUGAAGAGCCAUUUUCUUCAGACUGAGGAAAAAUUCAAAAGAGAAGAAAGAUUGACACCUGCUCUGUCAGUUUCAGCUGUUUCUUAAGAAUAGAAAAAGACGGUAUAGACUGACCAGAUAGACAACGAAAGGUGCCAGAAUGCUGGCCACAUAGCCCAUGAUGUGUAUGAGUGCCACACCCUGCGCUCGGACUACGGUUGGCAGCAAUUCUGCAGCGUACUGCAGCCCGAUGUU